GAGCAGACGUUUGAGCAUCAAGCUUUAUGUGCAUGAUCUCAUUUAUCUCCGAAGCCACGCUUUUGGGCAGAAAGAAGACCUGGGCCUGCCACACUGAGUCCAUGGACAGCUCCACAGUAAUGAAUCAGUGUGUCUGUAGAGGACUGGAAGAAAACAAGGAAAGGCCCCCACCGUACUCCUGCCUUUCCCUGAAGUAACUGCCAUGAUCUACGUAGUGCAUAGACAUGAUGCACAUAGCCUGUACAUUUCUUCCAGAGCUUUCUCUCGAUGUCCAGAUAUAUAGAAAAAAGUUAUUUUAUUCUUUCCUUACUUAAAAAAUACAUGCU
rnacentral:lncRNA from 1 species